rnacentral:rRNA from 1 species
AACGAACGCUGGCGGCAGGCUUAACACAUGCAAGUCGAACGCCCCGCAAGGGGAGUGGCAAACGGGUGAGUAACACGUGGGAACGUACCUUACAGUUCAGAAUAGCCUCGGGAAACUGGGAGUAAUACUGAAUAUUCUCUACGGAGGAAAGAUUUAUCGCUGUAAGAUCGGGCCGCGCUAGAUUAGCUAGUUGGUGGGGUAAUGGCUCACCAAGGCUACGAUCUAUAGCUGGUCUGAGAGGAUGAUCAGCCACACUGGGACUGAGAUACGGCCCAGACUCCUACGGGAGGCAGCAGUGAGGAAUAUUGGACAAUGGACGAAAGUCUGAUCCAGCCAUGCCGCGUGAAUGAAGAAGGCCUUAGGGUUGUAAAGUUCUUUCGCAGGGGAAGAUAAUGACGGUACCCUGAUAAGAAGCCCCGGCUAACUCCGUGCCAGCAGCCGCGGUAA